CUUUUGUGAUGAAUGUAUCAUUUCAGUUCUGCUACUGAAGCAUGCUGUCGACAACAUAUACCAACUUACCAAAUUUGUCUGACCC
rnacentral:snoRNA from 1 species